UCAUAAUUCGAGCGAUAUCCUGCACUUCUAGGUUGUAGUAAAACUUAUUAGAUAUUGUUCUAUUUUUAAUAUAAAUCGACGCCGAAUUUAGAUCAAGGUUACUAUAAUAAAGAAUUAUUUUAGAAAUAAUUUUAUUGUUAUAAAAAUUAAUUAUUAAAUAACUGUCAAAUUAUUUGUUAAGUUGGGUUAAGUUGGCAAUAUUAACAGGGAAUUUUUUGUUAUGUCAAAAUGACGUUUGAACUUUCAUUAUUUAGAAGGAUAUAAUACAGAAAUUGUUUCUUUGCCAAGUUAACACACUAAAUAACUUAAUCACGUGCGAAAAUCUCGUUUUCUUGACAUGUUGGCGCCAGUUAAUAAAAAUAAAAAGAAACGAUUAAGUUAACACAGAAAAGACGUUAAUCUUAUAUCAUUUUGGCAUCUUUAAUCGAUUACAGUUGGACGUAACAAGGAAUAUAUUUACACUCUACACUCGGUAGACAUAAUAACCCAUGAUGUGACGUAAUUAGAAAUUGAAGAUUCUCUUUGAAAUGGAACUGGUAAAUUAACAAAUUAUAAGAAGUUUGAAAUUUGAGAUGGUCAUUAGAAAAAAUUUAGUUCCCUUACUAAAUCCGUUACUGCUCCGAGUUAUCAAACAAAGACGGCACAGAAAACAUUCAAUUUUUGAAAAUCCCUUUCAUGUUGGAUAAUGUCAUGAUGAUUUUCCGUUCUCCAUAUCCGAAUGUUGUGAUGGUUCACCACAAUUACCCAAGUUAUAUAAUAUAUAUGCGAGAAGCAAAUUAAGUUUUAUUUCCAUGGAAACUUAUAUGACCCCAAAGGAUUAAGUUUGUUCGCUAUGUAACUUAAUGAAGAUUCAAACAAAAGUUUCAUCUAAAAUUACCCACUUACUCCAGUCUCAGCCAUUACUUCGAUGUUAAUACUACUUUAGAGACAUUAAAUGACUGUACCGGAUGAGAUGUAUUUACAGAAUGUUUUGCAGCAUUUAAUGAAUGUACAUUGUUGCAUAAAGCAACAAUGUUUUAGACUCAA